rnacentral:rRNA from 1 species
AGCACGCCGCGUAGAGUGAAGAAGGUUUUCGGAUCGUAAAGCUCUGUUGUAAGAGAAGAACGUGUGUGAGAGUGGAAAGUUCACACAGUGACGGUAACUUACCAGAAAGGGACGGCUAACUACGUGCCAGCAGCCGCGGUAAUACGUAGGUCCCGAGCGUUGUCCGGAUUUAUUGGGCGUAAAGCGAGCGCAGGCGGUUUAUUAAUUCUGAGGUUAAAGGCAGUGGCUUAACCAUUGUUCGCUUUGGAAACUGGUAGACUUGAGUGCAGAAGGGGAGAGUGGAAUUCCAUGUGUAGCGGUGAAAUGCGUAGAUAUAUGGAGGAA